CUGUUGGUUGUCAUGGCAGCAUGUGGAACAGAGGAGUCACCAGCAGCCUCUCUAGCCAGCUGACCAUGGUGGGGAUACCAGCCACCCCAAAAUCUGCUGACUGUGACAUCUGCCAGGCUAUGGAGAAUGAAGAGUUUGGAGGACUGAGAGGAGCAGAGGGGGUCACAAGGCCCAGCCAGACGGACACCUCUGGAUGGCAGGAGUGGUGAAGACUCCCUGGCUACCCAACCCACCUGAGAGACCCACGCCAUCAGGAAAGUCGGGACAGAGCCAGGCUGCCUGGUGGAGACGUGGGGGGUUAGACAGGGGCAAGACCAGUGGCAUCAG
rnacentral:lncRNA from 1 species